GAAGUUUUCGGACGGAUUUUAGUAACACCGAGUGGCGACGGGUGAGUAACACGUGGGUAACCUGCCCUCAAGCAGGGGAUAACAUUUGGAAACAGAUGCUAAUACCGUAUAAUCCUCAGAACCGCAUGGUUCUGAGUUGAAAGGCGGCUUUCGAGCUGUCACUUGAGGAUGGACCCGCGGCGCAUUAGCUAGUUGGUGAGGUAAAGGCCCACCAAGGCAGUGAUGCGUAGCCGACCUGAGAGGGUGAUCGGCCACAUUGGGACUGAGACACGGCCCAAACUCCUACGGGAGGCAGCAGUAGGGAAUCUUCCACAAUGGACGAAAGUCUGAUGGAGCAACGCCGCGUGAGUGAAGAAGGUUUUCGGAUCGUAAAACUCUGUUGUUGGAGAAGAACGUGUAUGAGAGUAACUGUUCAUGCAGUGACGGUAUCCAACCAGAAAGCCACGGCUAACUACGUGC
rnacentral:rRNA from 1 species